GAUGAACGCUGGCGGCGUGCCUAAUACAUGCAAGUCGAGCGAACGGACGAGAAGCUUGCUUCUCUGAUGUUAGCGGCGGACGGGUGAGUAACACGUGGAUAACCUACCUAUAAGACUGGGAUAACUUCGGGAAACCGUAGCUAAUACCGGAUAAUAUUUUGAACCGCAUGGUUCAAAAGUGAAAGACGGUCUUGCUGUCACUUAUAGAUGGAUCCGCGCUGCAUUAGCUAGUUGGUAAGGUAACGGCUUACCAAGGCAACGAUGCAUAGCCGACCUGAGAGGGUGAUCGGCCACACUGGAACUGAGACACGGUCCGGACUCCUACGGGAGGCAGCCGUAGGGAAUCUUCCGCACUGGGCGGAAGCAUGCCGGAGCAACGCCGCGUGAGUGAUGAAGGUCUUCGUAUCGUAUAACUCUCUUAUUAGGGAAGAACAUAUGUGUAGGUCACUGUGCCCAGCUUGACGGUACCUAAUCAGAAAGCCCCGGCUAACUACGUG
rnacentral:rRNA from 1 species